UCGACUUGGAGGUUGUGCCCUNGAGGCGUGGCUUCCGGAGCUAACGCGUUAAGUCGACCGCCUGGGGAGUACGGCCGCAAGGUUAAAACUCAAAUGAAUUGACGGGGGCCCGCACAAGCGGUGGAGCAUGUGGUUUAAUUCGAUGCAACGCGAAGAACCUUACCUACUCUUGACAUCCACGGAAUUUGGCAGAGAUGCCUUAGUGCCUUCGGGAACCGUGAGACAGGUGCUGCAUGGCUGUCGUCAGCUCGUGUUGUGAAAUGUUGGGUUAAGUCCCGCAACGAGCGCAACCCUUAUCCUUUGUUGCCAGCACUUCGGGUGGGAACUCAAAGGAGACUGCCGGUGAUAAACCGGAGGAAGGUGGGGAUGACGUCAAGUCAUCAUGGCCCUUACGAGUAGGGCUACACACGUGCUACAAUGGCGUAUACAAAGAGAAGCAAACUCGCGAGAGCCAGCGGACCUCAUAAAGUACGUCGUAGUCCGGAUUGGAGUCUGCAACUCGACUCCAUGAAGUCGGAAUCGCUAGUAAUCGUAGAUCAGAAUGCUACGGUGAAUACGUUCCCGGGCCUUGUACACACCGCCCGUCACACCAUGGGAGUGGGUUGCAAAAGAAGUAGGUAGCUUAACCUUCGGGAGGGCGCUUACCACUUUGUGAUUCAUGACUGGGGUG
rnacentral:rRNA from 1 species